rnacentral:rRNA from 1 species
AGAGUUUGAUCCUGGCUCAGGAUGAACGCUAGCGGCAGGCCUAACACAUGCAAGUCGAGGGGCAUCGGGAUUGAAGCUUGCUUCAAUUGCCGGCGACCGGCGCACGGGUGCGUAACGCGUAUGUAACCUACCUAUAACAGGGGCAUAACACUGAGAAAUUGGUACUAAUUCCCCAUAAUAUUCGGAGAGGCAUCUCUCCGGGUUGAAAACUCCGGUGGUUAUAGAUGGACAUGCGUUGUAUUAGCUAGUUGGUGAGGUAACGGCUCACCAAGGCGACGAUACAUAGGGGGACUGAGAGGUUAACCCCCCACACUGGUACUGAGACACGGACCAGACUCCUACGGGAGGCAGCAGUGAGGAAUAUUGGUCAAUGGACGCAAGUCUGAACCAGCCAUGCCGCGUGCAGGAUGACGGCUCUAUGAGUUGUAAACUGCUUUUGUACGAGGGUAAACGCAGAUACGUGUAUCUGUCUGAAAGUAUCGUACGAAUAAGGAUCGGCUAACUCCGUGCCAGCAGCCGCGGUAAUACGGAGGAUUCAAGCGUUAUCCGGAUUUAUUGGGUUUAAAGGGUGCGUAGGCGGUUUGAUAAGUUAGAGGUGAAAUUUCGGGGCUCAACCCUGAACGUGCCUCUAAUACUGUUGAGCUAGAGAGUAGUUGCGGUAGGCGGAAUGUAUGGUGUAGCGGUGAAAUGCUUAGAGAUCAUACAGAACACCGAUUGCGAAGGCAGCUUACCAAACUAUAUCUGACGUUGAGGCACGAAAGCGUGGGGAGCAAACAGGAUUAGAUACCCUGGUAGUCCACGCAGUAAACGAUGAUAACUCGUUGUCGGCGAUACACAGUCGGUGACUAAGCGAAAGCGAUAAGUUAUCCACCUGGGGAGUACGUUCGCAAGAAUGAAACUCAAAGGAAUUGACGGGGGCCCGCACAAGCGGAGGAACAUGUG